UACGGGGGGGGGCAAGCGUUGUUCGGAAUUACUGGGCGUAAAGCGCACGUAGGCGGCUUUGUAAGUUAGAGGUGAAAGCCCGGAGCUCAACUCCGGAACUGCCUUUAAGACUGCAUCGCUUGAACGUCGGAGAGGUAAGUGGAAUUCCGAGUGUAGAGGUGAAAUUCGUAGAUAUUCGGAAGAACACCAGUGGCGAAGGCGACUUACUG
rnacentral:rRNA from 1 species